rnacentral:rRNA from 1 species
GAUGAACGCUGGCGGCGUGCCUAAUACAUGCAAGUCGAGCGAACGGACGAGAAGCUUGCUUCUCUGAUGUUAGCGGCGGACGGGUGAGUAACACGUGGAUAACCUACCUAUAAGACUGGGAUAACUUCGGGAAACCGGAGCUAAUACCGGAUAAUAUUUUGAACCGCAUGGUUCAAAAGUGAAAGACGGUCUUGCUGUCACUUAUAGAUGGAUCCGCGCUGCAUUAGCUAGUUGGUAAGGUAACGGCUUACCAAGGCAACGAUGCAUAGCCGACCUGAGAGGGUGAUCGGCCACACUGGAACUGAGACACGGUCCAGACUCCUACGGGAAGCAGCAGUAGGGAAUCUUCCGCAAUGGGCGGAAGCCUGACGGGGCAAAGCCGCGGGAGUGAUGAAGGUCUUCGGAUCGUAAAACUCUGUUAUUAGGGAAGAACAUAUGUGGAAGUAACUGUGCACAUCUUGACGGUACCUAAUCAGAAAGCCACGGCUAACUACGUG